GGAGCCAAGACGCCGUCGCUUGCAAAGCAUCGCCCGCAGACCGAGGGGAGACAAAGUUGAGGCAGCGCGAGGGGGCUUCCGAGCUCAGCCCUCCGCACUUAAAGGAAAGACCCCCGGAGCUGCAGCCCAGAAGCUGCCGCUGACCUCGCCAUGCGGCUCUCUGACCUGAGACCCUGGGCCGCCCUACUGCUGGCGGACUCGGCCUUACUCUGGCUGCUCCAGGGACCUCUGGAGGCUCUGCUUCCCCGAGGGCUUCCAGGCCUGUGGCUGGAGGGCACCUUGCAACUUGGAGGGCUUUGGUGGCUGCUGAGGCUGGGAGGGCUGCUGGGAUAUGCGCGGACNCCCCCCCCCCCCCCCCCCCCGCUCCCCGCCCCGUCUGGUGAUCCCUCUGUUUUCCUGAGGGUUCUGGUCUCAGGAACCUUGAAUGUGCCCCCAGCAGAGUGGCUUCAGUCCCUUGGUGCUGCUGCUGCUGGGGUCCGGGGCUGCAGGGCUCAGCUGGGAAGUGUGGGCUGUGCAAACUGUGCAGUUUGCUGGAUUAGGAGCAAGAUGUCUGCUUGUAUAAGGAGGCUCUCAAAUGAUGCUGGCACCUGUGGUGGCCAGGAGACCUGGAACAGGCCCUCUGCCUGCUCUUAAGGAGGAUGCUGCACUUGACAAUGAAGGUGCUGUUGCUGAGCUGUGGGCUGCAGCAGGUCCUGGCUGGGACGUCACCCAGGGCGGGCUGCUGUCCUUUCUGCUCUACCAGGAGAACCUGGGCUCCUACAAGCAAGUGAGUCGGGAGCUGUGCAGGCUGUCUUUCCCACCCCCCUGUUUUCCCCUCUGGCUUCUGGGCCUUGGGUUUUAUUUGUUCCUCUUUAAAAUACAAAAAACAAAACCAAACAAAAACGAAAUAACUCUUAAUUUGUUUGCUAUGAAGAAUUUCAAACAGAUGCAGAAAACCCCACCCCAUGUAAUGAACCCCCAUGUACCCAUCCGCUUUAACAGUUAUCACCUGAAGGCCAGUCUUGUUUCAUCUGUUUCCCCAUCACUCCUCCCAUAUUCUUUUGAAGCAAACCCAAGGUAUGCUUUCAUCUGUAAAUAUUUCUGCGUGUAUCUCUAAACAUAAAAAAAAGUUAUACAGAUAAAACCACAAAGCCACGAUCACACCAGAAAAGUUAACAGUAGCAUCAUCAGUCAGUGGUCAAAUUUCCGCGUGUCUCAUAGAGGUAGUAGAAGUGUAUACACUGAGUCGAUCUCUUUCUCUCUCUCAUCUGUGGGGGCACCAUCCACCAGUGCUCAGGGUCCGUCACAUUACUGGGGGCUGCAAAACAGUGACCCUCGCCAUUCCCUCCUUCAUUAGCAGGGGUUCAUCUCUCAAGGGAGACGUCUCCUCAUCUGCUGUGUGGUUCCCAGGGGUGCAGUUUGAUGAAGAAAGGCAGAAUGAGCAUUCAGCUCCUUGCCUGUAAUUACCAGGUUCCAAAAAUAAUUAGUUCCUGCAUCUUGGGCUUUAUUCGAUAAUUUUCGUGGACAUUUGUUAAACAUGGUUAUGUUGGAGAGCUGCGUGGGAGGCACUCUGGGGGCUACAAAGAUGAGGUGGGCACAGUGCCUGCCUUUAAGGAGUCCCCUGUCUCAUCAGGCAGAACUGUGUAGGGGUCACAGGGACCAGUCCCUGGACAGGUGUGGGGUGGGAGGAACACUGUGUGGGAGGAGUGUGGAUGUCUCCUUCCUUUAUGUUGCAAAUUGGAGUAAUGGGGGAUUGGGGCUGAUGUUAAAUUCCAUCGGCAUUUAUUUUUUUUGUCUUUUUAGGGCUGCACCCGUGGCAUAUGGAGGUUCCCAGGCUAGGGGUCCAAUCGGAGCUGUAGCCACCGGCCUACGCCAGAGCCAUAGCAACGCAUGGCUGGGGCGGCAUGGGGCAGGGAGUGCGUGAGGAGGUGAGAGGUUGAAAGUAGAACUUUUGAUCUAUGAUCCAGCAAUUUGAAGUCUGAUAUUUUUCCAACGAACACAGAAACAUUACCUAUAAAGAUAGACUCAACCCUGUAUUUAUUGCAGCAUUAUUUACAGUAGCAAAGAUAUGGACGCAGCCUAAGUAUCUGUCAGUAGAACAGAUAAAGAAGAUACCACAGUGGAAUGUUACUCAGCCAUGAAAAAGAAUGAAAUUCUUCCAUUUACUACAACAUGGAUGGACUCAGUGGGUAUUAUGCUAAGUGAAAUAAGUCAGAGGAAGACGAAUACUCUAUGAUUUCACUUGUUGGUGGAAUUUAAGAAACAAAUGAACAGAACAAAACAGAAACUGACCCAAGAUACAGAGGACAAAGAGGUAGUUGUCAGAAAAGUGGUGGGUGGGGGCCAAAAACAUAGCCCGGCAGUUUCCGGCUCCAGGAUAAUGAGUUAGGAGCAGGGGGGCAUCUGUGUGUAUGUUCUGCCCCCAGUUGAUCACGCACUCUCUUCAUGGGUCAGGUCCCUGUGGUCUUGGUCCCAGACCCCCAGUUCUCAAGGACUUAAGGACCAGCAUGUUCUCAAAUACUGGAGGACAAUUGUGGGAUGUCUGAAAAAGUCUAAAGCCUCCUUGGGGGGAGGCGCUCCCACAUCCAGUGUCUGAGUCUUCCCCAAAUUUCCAGUGUCUGCUCGGGUCAUCUGGGAAAGAGAUUAGGGGCAGAGACCGUCCCUAAAGAAAGCCCCGUGCUGGCUUCGUGGUUUCCUUCACGGUGUCUCAUUUUUCUCUCCCCUCCUAGUGCAACCGGAGGUGACAGUGCAUCCGGAGAGGACCCCGUCCCUGCAGCUCCGCAACCUGCUGCUUUGCUCUGUGACAGGGUUCUACCCAGGGGCCAUCGAGAUCAGGUGGUUCCGGAACGGGCAGGAGCAGAGAGAGGGGGUCCUGGCCACUGGCCUCGUCAGGAAUGGAGACUGGACCUUUCAGACAGUGGUGAUGCUGGAAAUGACUCCUGAGCUUGGGGACGUCUACACCAGCCUGCUGAGCCCCGUUUCUGUGGAGUGGAAUGUGGAGUGUGGCAUUUCUUCCUAGAGGAUGGGAAACCAGCUCGGCCAGCUCUCAUUGCCCUGACUAGUCCUUUCACAUUUCCAGAAUAUGUUGAAAUCAGAGAUGUGGUUUUGGAUGUUUGGGAAGCAAAGAAGCAUAAAAUGGAGCAGAAGGUAAAGCCAGCUUUUGCCUGAAGAUGGAGUUCAGUCUUUUUACAUGUUUUAGCAGGGAUUUGUCUGCUAGAGACAAGUGAUGCUGCCUCACAUCUACUCCUCAUUGGCUGGAGAGAAAACCAUUAUAUCCUUAAAAAUAGCUCUGCAAAAUCUCUUUGCCGUCAUUGUCUUUAUUUGAGUGUUAGAGUUGAGCGUCAGCAUUAAAAGUCAGAGUUUUGGGGAAGGGAAGUAGCUGUAGGAAGCCACUUAGUACGUAAGCGUACCUUCCAUCUUCCAGGGCACCCUGCUCUUGCCUCGACACAGUUGCUCUAACAUCAAAGGGAGGUGAUAGGAUCAGCAGUGGGAGGAGGGGACAGAGUCACAAUUAGAUCAUGAAUCUUAAACCAGUGGUGGCUCAGCACUAACAGGUAUUCAAGAAGUAAUUAACUAUAAAUGUUAGCAGCUUAACGUGUUUGCCUCUUGGGAAAUCCAGGGGAUAGGUCUUGUGUGAAGGGGUCAAAUAAACAUCAGAGUCAAAUAAACAUCAUUUGUAACCCAGCUGUGGCUCUGGUCCUGGCUCUAUUCAAUGAAAAUGAUUGAUGACUCCAGAUCCGUUGGUGAGUAGCUGAUCCUCACAGCUUCUGGGUCAACCAAAAGGUUCCAGGGUGUAUUAGCGGAUAAGAAGGAAAUAAGGCUGAGGGUUUGGGAAAUGUACCCAAAUGCCUCCCAAUUGUCUGGGAGCAAAGCCAUUUUUUAAGGUGUCUAAGAGAGAGGUACAACUCUAGUAUAAAAUGAUUGCGGGUCCAAUCCUUAUUUCUUUCCUUUAUCCCAUCCAAUAUUAAAAAGGAUACUUGGCACAGGGAACUAUAUCUGAUCACCUGUGAUAGAACAUGAUAGAAGAGAUGAUAUGAGAAAAAGAAUGUACACAUAUGUAUGACUGGGUCACUUUGCUGUGCAGCAGAAAUCGACAGAACAUUGUAAAUCAACUAGAAUAAAAAAUUAAAAAC
rnacentral:lncRNA from 1 species